AGACCCGAAACCCGGUGAUCUAGCCAUGGGCAGGUUGAAGGUUGGGUAACACUAACUGGAGGACCGAACCGACUAAUGUUGAAAAAUUAGCGGAUGACCUGUGGCUGGGGGUGAAAGGCCAAUCAAACCGGGAGAUAGCUGGUUCUCCCCGAAAGCUAUUUAGGUAGCGCCUCGUGAAUUCAUCUCCGGGGGUAGAGCACUGUUUCGGCUAGGGGGCCAUCCCGGCUUACCAACCCGAUGCAAACUGCGAAUACCGGAGAAUGUUAUCACGGGAGACACACGGCGGGUGCUAACGUCCGUCGUGAAGAGGGAAACAACCCAGACCGCCAGCUAAGGUCCCAAAGUCAUGGUUAAGUGGGAAACGAUGUGGGAAGGCCCAGACAGCCAGGAUGUUGGCUUAGAAGCAGCCAUCAUUUAAAGAAAGCGUAAUAGCUCACUGGUCGAGUCGGCCUGCGCGGAAGAUGUAACGGGGCUAAACCAUGCACCGAAGCUGCGGCAGCGAACGUAUCACCCAAGACAACUUUACGGAGUUGACGAUUGACGGAGCGAAGCGACGUCAAAGCGUUCAUUAAAGUCGAGUUGGCUUAGGGAUACGUUCGUUGGGUAGGGGAGCGUUCUGUAAGCCUGUGAAGGUGUGUCGUGAGGCAUGCUGGAGGUAUCAGAAGUGCGAAUGCUGACAUAAGUAACGAUAAAGCGGGUGAAAAGCCCGCUCGCCGGAAGACCAAGGGUUCCUGUCCAACGUUAAUCGGGGCAGGGUGAGUCGACCCCUAAGGCGAGGCCGAAAGGCGUAGUCGAUGGGAAACGGGUUAAUAUUCCCGUACUUGGUGUUACUGCGAAGGGGGGACGGAGAAGGCUAUGUUGGCCGGGCGACGGUUGUCCCGGUUUAAGCGUGUAGGUGUGUGUUCCAGGUAAAUCCGGUUCACUUUAACACUGAGGCGUGACGACGAGGCACUACGGUGCUGAAGCAACAAAUGCCCUGCUUCCAGGAAAAGCCUCUAAGCAUCAGGUAACACGA
rnacentral:rRNA from 2 species